rnacentral:rRNA from 1 species
UACGUAGGGGGCGAGCGUUGUCCGGAAUUAUUGGGCGUAAAGAGCGUGUAGGCUGUUCGGUAAGUCUGCCGUGAAAACCUGAGGCUCAACCUCGGGCGUGCGGUGGAUACUGCCGGGCAGAGGACGGGUAGAGGCGAGUGGAAUUCCGGUGAGCGGUGAAAUGCGCAGAUAUCGGGAGGAACACCAGUACGCGAAGGCGGCUCGCUGGGCCGUUCUGACGCUGAGACGCGAAAGCUAGGGGAGCGAACAGGA